AGGGAACACCGGUUCCAGUACAAUCACCGAAGUUAAGCAACGUUGAGCUGUGCCAGUACUUAGAUGGGUGACUGCUUAGGAAUACCAGGAGCUGUAAG